GGGAGCCUGGACAUCUUUUAUUAUACUGUAAUUAAUUUUUAAAUUAUAAUUUUUUUAUUGUAAAAAAUAUUGUAGUUUUUAUUAACACAAUUGACGCAGCUAAAGUCUAAUUGGUGAGUUAAUUUCUAAACAAACAAUAUCCUAUGGUUAAAAUAUGUGUAAUACAAGUUUUCUAAGUUACUCCUCUGUUACAGAUUUCAAUCCUGUUGCCGAUUGUUAAAAAUUAAUUAAACCAGCCCUCCAUCAUUCAUACAAGAUUGAUCAAGUGGAAAUAUUAUUCGACAUCAUAUGAUGUGAUUAAUUUGUAAGUAUAUUUUGCAUUCCAUAUGAUAACAUUUUACUAGAAAAACUUAACAAUAACAGAGUUUUCACGUAUUCGUAAUCUAGCUUUUGAAAAACUCAUAAUGAAAAUAUAUUAGUAGUAAUUAAGUAAAAUUAUUUAAUCAUUACUGUGUCAUUAGUGUUAGGUUGAACAAAGUUUCAACAGAGUAAAACUCGAGUUAUGUAGUUGAGAAACGCAUUUCA